GACGGAGGAUGCAAGUGUUAUCCGGAAUCAUUGGGCGUAAAGCGCGUGUAGGCGGCCCGAUAAGUCCGCUGUGAAAGUCCAGGGCUCAACCCUGGGAUGCCGGUGGAUACUGUCGGGCUCGAGUCCGGAAGAGGCGAGUGGAAUUCCUGGUGUAGCGGUGAAAUGCGCAGAUAUCAGGAGGAACACCAAUGGCGAAGGCAGCUCGCCGGGACGUGACUGACGCUGAGACGCGAAAGCGUGGGGAGCAAACAGG
rnacentral:rRNA from 1 species